rnacentral:rRNA from 1 species
AGAACGAACGCUGGCGGCAGGCUUAACACAUGCAAGUCGAACGCGUGUAGCAAUACACGAGUGGCGCACGGGUGAGUAACGCGUGGAUAUCUGCCUUUUGGUUCGGAAUAACCCCGGGAAACUGGGGCUAAUACCGGAUGGUUCCUACGGGAUAAAGAUUUAUCGCCAAAAGAUGAGUCCGCGUACGAUUAGCUAGUUGGUGAGGUAAUGGCUCACCAAGGCGACGAUCGUUAGCUGGUCUGAGAGGACGAUCAGCCACACUGGGACUGAGACACGGCCCAGACUCCUACGGGAGGCAGCAGUGGGGAAUAUUGGACAAUGGGGGCAACCCUGAUCCAGCCAUGCCGCGUGAGUGAUGAAGGCCUUCGGGUUGUAAAGCUCUUUCGCUCGGGACGAUAAUGACGGUACCGAGAUAAGAAGCCCCGGCUACUUCGUGCCAGCAGCCGC